UAAGACGGAGGAGGCAAGCGUUAUCCGGAAUUAUUGGGCGUAAAGCGUCCGCAGGCGGCUUUUUAAGUCUGCUGUUAAAGCCCACAGCUCAACUGUGGAUCGGCAGUGGAAACUGGAGAGCUAGAGCGUGGUAGGGGUAGAGGGAAUUCCCGGUGUAGCGGUGAAAUGCGUAGAUAUCGGGAAGAACACCAGUGGCGAAGGCGCUCUACUGGGCCAUGACUGACGCUGAGGGACGAAAGCUAGGGGAGCGAAAGGGAUUAGAUACCCCUGUAG
rnacentral:rRNA from 1 species